rnacentral:tRNA from 1 species
AAUAUUAUGCCUGAUUUAAAAGGGGUAAAUUGUAAAUUUACUAAUGAAUUGAUAAUUCUAAUAUUA